rnacentral:rRNA from 1 species
CUUUCUUUGCUGGCGACCGGCGCACGGGUGAGUAACACGUAUCCAACCUGUCCUUUACUCGGGGAUAGCCUUUCGAAAGAAAGAUUAAUACCCGAUAGCAUAAUGAUUCCGCAUGGUUUCAUUAUUAAAGGAUUCCGGUAAAGGAUGGGGAUGCGUUCCAUUAGGUUGUUGGUGAGGUAACGGCCCACCAAGCCUUCGAUGGAUAGGGGUUCUGAGAGGAAGGUCCCCCACAUUGGAACUGAGACACGGUCCAA